rnacentral:rRNA from 1 species
AGUGAUAAUUAUUCCGACGAGGCCACACCCGUUCCCAUUCCGAACACGGCAGUUAAGCUCGUAAGGGUCGAUGGUAUUGGCGCCCAAUUCGGCGCUGAGAGAGUAGAUCGUUGUCGCUC